rnacentral:lncRNA from 1 species
UACCAAUAUAAGUUUCCCAAACAACUGGACAGACCGGUAAUUCUCAACCAGAGUCCAUAUGACCUGGGAAGGGGGUUCCAGGCUACUGCCGAACAGAGCACGAAACGGAAUUCAUCACCGAAGCUCUACACAAUGAGAAGAAUGGUCAGCGCAGCAAUAUAAGAAUUAUGGUUAGCAAAGUAUUCCAGGUUUUAAAUUAUUAGAUAUUCAAAGUAAUAAAGAAUGGAAGUAUGUACAGAAUUCUUGGAGACAUAAAAUAUAUGCCCUCGAAUUCAUGAUGGAAAAGGAGCAAGUUCUAAAGGGAAACACCAGAAAUCUCGCGUAACAUCGACCAAUCUUUUGGUCAGGAGACCAUCAACGCACAUUUAGGUUCAAGAAUUUCAUAGCGGAGAUGAAAGCUUUGACAAAGAGUAAUGUACCAGACGACCUUCCGAAAAUGACAAUAACCAGUGGAAGGCCGAUAUUGAAACAAACCCGCGCAUAAGUGGUCAAGAAUUUACAAGAGAAUUUAACCAGGCCCAGCAAACUUUUGGAGAAGUGGGCCGCAUGUGACAUUGCUCAUCAUCAUGUAGGCCCUACUACUAAAAAUUUCAAGGUAAUUUUUCAUUGGCAUGACAUUCAGAAAGUCCCGCGGGCCGCAGUUUGCCAAUGACUGAACUAAACGUUGAUAUUAUACAUGUGUUCGAUAUUUAUAUUUUAAUGGAAAAUCAUAAAAUCUCAAUAAAUGUGCCAUAGUAGUUGGGCUAAUAUAAAUUUAUAAAUAAAUAUAUGGA